AGUAAAGUAUUGUCAUGUAGAAAAAAGGGGCAUUAGUUCUCAGGAAGAGAAUAUCAUUCUGCCACUUUAUAAAUCACUGGUAAGACCACAUUUUGAAUAUGCUGUGCAAUUUUGGGCACCUGUUCUGAAGAAGGAUAUAAUGGCACUAGAAAAAGUGCAGAGGCGGGCUACAAAAUUAAUAAAAGGAAUGGAACAUUUUAGUUAUGAAGAAAGGUUAACAAAUUUAGUUUGGAAAAACGGUGCCUGAGAGGGGAUAUGAUAACAUUAUACAAAUAUAUCCGGGGCCAAUACAAACCAUUGUCUGGAAAUCUGUUCACAAACAGUACUAUACAUAGGACACAGGGUCAUGCGUUUAGACUGGAAAAAAGAAGAAUGUGGAACAAUAAGGAUGUGGAAUUCUCUGCCUGAAGAAAUGGUUUUAUCAGAGUCUGUACAGAUGUUUAAACAACAAUUAGAUACAUACUUGAAAAAACAUUAGAUUCAAGGAUAUACUUUUUCAAUUACGGUAAUUGCUUCUUUAUCCAAGGAUAAAUCUGACUGCCAUUCUGGGGUCAAGAAUGAGUAUGUAUUUGUGCCUUCUUUUGCAUCAUUAGCAAAAACCAGAUGUGAGGAAGGGUGAACUUGAUAAACACAGGUUUCUUUUCAGCCUAUGUAACUAUGUAACUGUCAGGAUGUGUCUUAAAAUUCUGGUUCUUGCUUUCAAAUCUCUACAUGAUGCUACCCCCACCUAUCUAUCCUCCCUAAUACACAAGUAUAUCCCAUCAAGCCCUUACGCACUGCUGAAGACUUGCGUCUAUCUUCUGUCCGUACUCCCACCUCUGAUGCUCACCUUCAAGACUUCUCGAGGGCUUCAUCGUUCCUGUGGAACUCACUUCCCUCCUCCGUUAGAUGCUCACCCAGUCUCCACUCCUUCAAAAAAUCAUUAAAAACCCACUUCUUCAUAAAAGCGUAUCAAUUAAACUGUAAAUCGCUCCCGACUGAUUCCUCUCUUGCAACUGUUAUUAGUCCAAUACUAUCCUUACCUUUUGUGUCACUUUACCCCACUUCGUUUAUUUUUCACCAUUAUGGGUGUGAGGGAGAGGAUGAUUGACCUGGCAUACUGAUAGCCACUUUGGGAUGUAUGGGGGCUCCUUAGGAGACUGUAGCAAGGACUCUAAUCAUAUCACCAAAACAGCACGGGCUGAUUUCUAGCCGGCAAUUCACGAGACAGCAUGUUUGUUGCUGAGGAUUAUACGAAACUAGGCAGAUAGUGUUCCGGGCUUUUAGAGGUGAUCCGCAGCAAGCUGAAUGUUUCUCUUUUUAAUUGUUUACAACAAGUUAUAAUUUGGUCACUAUUCCAUUCAGCAUUUGGAUAUAUUGUAGUAAUGUGAACUCAAGUGUCUGUUUAUUAGGAGCAAGUUGUGAUACAAUGAACUGUUAUAUGUCUUAAGAACAAGCCAUUGAAAGCAUAUAUGGGCUGGAUCUGACUUGUAUAACCUUUUAUUUAAAUGGACACUAUAGUCACCAGAACAACUACAGCUUAUUGAGUUUGUUCUGGUGAGUAGAAUCAUUACCUUCAGGCUCUUUGCUGUAAAUACUGUCUUUUCAGAGAAAAUGCAGAGUUUACAUUACAGGCUAGUGAUAACUUCACUGACCACUCCUCAGAUAGCUGUUAGAGAUCCUUCCUGGAUCAUGGCUGCAUGCAGACACUGAACCUUCCUCAUAGAGAUUCAUUGAUUCAAUUAAUCUCUAUGAGGAGAUGCUGAUUGGCCAGGGCUGUGUUUGAAUCAUGCUGGCUCUGCCCCUGAUCUGCCUCCUUGUCAGUCUCAGACAAUCCUAUGGGGAAGUAUUGUGGUUGGAUCAGGCUACCAGUUCUGCUGAUGUCAGGGGGGCUAGAUUGUGGUUUUAACACUAUAGGGUCAGGAAUACAUGUUUGUGUUCCUGACCCUAUAGUGAUCCUUUAAAUUGGUUUAUCUACUACAGACAGCCUCUACUAUUCAAGUCUUACACUUUGAGUUACUUAAUCUCCAUUAUUAUAUGACUCUUUAGCG
rnacentral:lncRNA from 1 species